rnacentral:lncRNA from 1 species
CGCGUUGUUUCUGUCUAAGAUCUGAUGAUGUUAUUUCUUCCUACAUCUCUUUGUACAACAUUGGGUUAAGUGUGCUCAGCAGCAAAGGGCACCACGUCAUCUAGAAAGAUGCAUUCCGACAGGUGGAAACCUAAUAGCACAGGAGGAUUUUUCCUACCCCAGUGCCCUUCAUCUUGGGAGGAUGACAUCACCAGAUACUGUUAACAAAGACACUGGUGUCCCUAACUUAGCUGCUUCAGCUGCCCGAGACUUGGCUGACUGACUCCAGGGACAGACAACUCCGAAGUCCUGUAUGUUCUUCCUGCCACAUGCCCCUAAGGCCGUGGGUUGCAUUUUGUGAUCUUUCUUUCCCCUAAAAGGUAGCUGUACACUGUCUUCCUUUAAACCACAGUUAAAAAAAUUGUGACAUGUGGGAGGAAGUGUGUACAGUGACAGGCCUUACCCCUCCCCCAGUUCCUGAUCCCAGGGACCACAGAUCCGGCUUCAGUUCUCACUGAGGAAUUAAGGCCUCCAAAGAAAUUCUAAUUUGCAGUGCCUUUGGCUUGGCUCUUGACUUAAGAAUCCCUAUCUUUGGGACAGGCUUACCUGUUAGGUCCUUUCCCCAUUACACUAUUGGAGUGGCUCUUAUGAGCUCUAAAUUAUGGCCACCAAGUCUGAGAUUAAGUCAAUUUCCCAGAGACUGGAAUGGCAUACAGUAAAGUUUUACUAUUGGCUUCAGAACUGGCUCUUUUUACAUGUAUCUCAGUGACCGUCAAGGGAGAGAGGGUGAGCGUGUGUGUAUGCGUGAGUAUGUCUAAGGGGGAGGUUGACAUUAUAUUCAAUAUAAUACUUUUUGUGUGGUUAAAAAACAAACCUUUUGAUUUCCUUUCGCAAACCCUAGAAAGUAAAAUUUGACCAAAAUCUUCCUGGCCAUUAGGGAUACGCAAAGGUCUCUUCCUUAAUGUGGAGGACAUUCAGAAUGUGGACAGUGAGAUGUUUAUGGUCUAAUUAUUUAUCAGACAGACCAGAGGCUAUAGGCUCAGUCUCCACUGGUCACAGGUUGCUGCUUUAACUCAGUCAUGCUUUGUGUUUCACAUAGUCUUGCAAUGGAAUUAUUCUCAAUGCUGGGUCAUCUGGAACUCAAUAUUUCUCACCAAUAGCCACCACUUUUCUGCUAUAUUGAACAACACAGUCUAUGGCCUGAAUGGCUGUGCUCCCUACCAAAUGUAUAUGUUGAAAUCCUAACCUUCAAAGGCAAAGUUAGUAGGUGGGGCCUUGGGAGGUGAUUAGUUUGUGGGGAUGGGGCCCUUCUGAAUAGGACUAUUGCUCUUAGAAAAGCACAAAGGGGAGUUCCUGCUGUGGUGCAACAGGAUCAGUGGCAUCUCUGCAGCACCAGGAUGCAGGCUUGAUGCCUGGCCCGGCACAGCGAGUUAAAGGAUCUGGCACUGCCACAGCUGCAGGAUAGGUCACAAUUUCGGCUUAGAUCUGACUGCUGGCCUGGGAACUCCAUAUGCUGUGUGGCAGCAAAAAAUGAAAAAAAGGAGUUCCCAUGGUGGCUCAGCAGUAACAAACCUGACUAGUAUGCAUGAGGACACAGGUUUGAUCUCUGGCCUUGCUCAAUGGGUUAAGGAUCUGGCAUUGCCAUGAGCUGUGGUGUAUGUCGCAGACGUGGCUUGGAUAUGGCGUUUCUGUGGUUGUGGUAUAGGCCGACGGCUACAGCUCUGAUUCAACCACUAGCCUCGGAAACUCCACAUACUGCAGAUGUGGCCUAAAACACACACACACACACACACACACACACACACACACAAAGACAGUGAAGGAAAUACUGUCCUGCACAUUUUUUNAUUUUUCUUAUCUUUUCGUUUUCUUCCUUUUUUUUUUUUUUUUUUUUUUUUUUUUUUGGCUGUGCCUGUGGCAUGUGGAAGUUCCCGGGCCAAGGACUGAACCUGUUCCACAGCAGUGAUAAUGCUGGAUCUUAACCUGCUAUGCCACAGGAAACUCCCAGUCCUGUACACUCUAGAUGCUAUAAGAACAGCAAAGGAAGAACUGGUUGUCAGAGGAGCAACUAUGAGCAUUCAGCACAGUCUUUGCAGUAGGGCUGUUCACAAGGAAAACAUGAGAUGCUGGAGUUCUGCUCCUUUUAACUCCACCCUCUCCCCCCAGCCCCCACCAAGGUGUCCAAAGGUGAGCAGCAUGAAGAGGGGCAUACAAAUGCACAGGUAAUCCGUCUGCGUUUUCCACAGCUCGCAGUAGUAAAGAUCUAUGACGAAAUUAUCUCACUCUCACAGGAACCCAAGCGCAGUCGCCCCUCUGC